ACUCCUACGGGAGGCAGCAGUGGGGAAUAUUGCACAAUGGGCGCAAGCCUGAUGCAGCCAUGCCGCGUGUAUGAAGAAGGCCUUCGGGUUGUAAAGUACUUUCAGCAGUGAGGAAGGCGGAGUCGUUAAUAGCGGCCUCGUUUGACGUUAGCUGCAGAAGAAGCACCGGCUAACUCCGUGCCAGCAGCCGCGGUAAUACGGAGGGUGCGAGCGUUAAUCGGAAUUACUGGGCGUAAAGCGCAUGCAGGUGGUUUGUUAAGUCAGAUGUGAAAGCCCGGGGCUCAACCUCGGAAUUGCAUUUGAAACUGGCAGACUAGAGUACUGUAGAGGGGGGUAGAAUUUCAGGUGUAGCGGUGAAAUGCGUAGAGAUCUGAAGGAAUACCGGUGGCGAAGGCGGCCCCCUGGACAGAUACUGACACUCAGAUGCGAAAGCGUGGGGAGCAAACAGGAUUAGAUACCCUGGUAGCGUCGAC
rnacentral:rRNA from 1 species